rnacentral:rRNA from 1 species
AUACGGAGGAUGCGAGCGUUAUCCGGAUUUAUUGGGUUUAAAGGGAGCGUAGGUGGGAUAUUAAGUCAGCUGUGAAAGUUUGGGGCUCAACCUUAAAAUUGCAGUUGAUACUGGUUUCCUUGAGUACGGUAUAGGUGGGCGGAAUUCGCGGUGUAGCGGUGAAAUGCUUAGAUAUCACGAAGAACAGCGAUCGCGAAGGCAGAUCGCCGGUCCGGAACUGACACUGAUGCACGAAAGUGCGGGUAUCAAACAGGAUUAGAUACCCUGGUAGUCCGCGCAGUAAACGAUGAAUACUCGCUGUUUGCGAUACACUGUAAGCGGCCAAGCGAAAGCGUUAAGUAUUCCACCUGGGGAGUACGCCGGCAACGGUGAAACUCAAAGGAAUUGACGGGG